rnacentral:tRNA from 1 species
GCGCGGGUAGCUCAGUGGAUAGAGCAGCGGCUUCCUAAGCCGUUGGUCGCCGGUUCGAUUCCGGCUCCGCGCA